CGGGUCGAGAGGCGCUGCAACGGGCUGCUGGGACCACCACCCCAGCCCGCCACGCUCGACCCGUUUUCCGAUCCGCAACAAGGGCGCCUCCCACUU
rnacentral:ncRNA from 2 species